CUGCAAAUAGCCUCACUGUUCUGAUUUUUAAUAAUCAGAGCAGGCAAAACAUUUGCUAUAAUAAGAUCAUGCAUAUGUCCCAUAUCUAAUUCUUUACCUACCUAGGUGUGGUCUUAGAAAUGAAGGUGGUACCC